rnacentral:rRNA from 1 species
GGCCAGACUCCUACGGGAGGCAGCAGUGGGGAAUAUUGCACAAUGGGGGAAACCCUGAUGCAGCGACGCCGCGUGAGUGAAGAAGUAAUUCGUUAUGUAAAGCUCUAUCAGCAGGGAAGAAAAUGACGGUACCUGAGUAAGAAGCCCCGGCUAACUACGUGCCAGCAGCCGCGGUAAUACGUAGGGGGCAAGCGUUAUCCGGAAUUACUGGGUGUAAAGGGAGCGUAGACGGUGAUGCAAGUCUGGAGUGAAAGGCGGGGGCCCAACCCCCGGACUGCUCUGGAAACUGUAUGACUUGAGUGCAGGAGAGGUAAGCGGAAUUCCUAGUGUAGCGGUGAAAUGCGUAGAUAUUAGGCGGAACACCAGUGGCGAAGGCGGCUUACUGGACUGUAACUGACGUUGAGGCUCGAAAGCGUGGGGAGCACACAGGAUUAGAUACCCUCGUAA